rnacentral:lncRNA from 1 species
AAAAAAAAAAUGAAAAAAUGAAAAAUCUUACGACUACUCUUUUCAUCGUCAUCUCAGUGAAGGAAGCCCCUUAACUUUAUUCAAUCUAAUAAUUGGCUAACCCUGAAGUCAUUUCACAAGACAGUGUCAUUUCUUGUAGGGGCGGAGCUACCUAAGGACCAGUGCGGGCAGGUGCCCGCACUGGGAUUUUAAGAACUGAAAAUUUAGGUAGUAGAUGCAGACACCUACACUGGGAUUUCCGGCAGGUCCAUGCAUUACGUGAAGAGUCGAACGCAGUGGAAAGCUGAAAGUGGAAGAAGGGUAGAAGAGUUUUUUCUGGGGCUAACUUCUAAUUGUUUUCUAAAUUGUAAUGUAAGCCUUUUCUGACCAACUGACCAAGAAGAGAAGAAGAAAAUGGAAGAAGAAAGCUUGUAAGUAGCUGUCGCAGUGGAGCAGUUAUGAAUUGAUGGGGAAGAUGAGUUAAUGUUGGGCCAUUUUUUUUUUUUAAAAAAAUUCUGGACCUUUUGUUAAAUUGAGCUAUCUUAAUAUUAGACCCAUGAUAAUAGGAUUCAUAGCCCACAGGCCUGCUGAUGUUAAAAGUUAAAAUCGUUUCUAUUUUCAUCCUAUUUCUGUAGUUCAGGUUGUUCGGCUAUUGUUUCAUAAAUAUAUGCACAAAACAUGUCUCUUUGUUCAUAUAAAUGUGUAAAAUGUGUUUGUUUGUGCAUCUCCAUUAAUUAUCGUAUUAAUCUAAAAGCAAGUGAAAUGGAAUAAUAGAAUUGAUUGCACUAGCUGUUAAAAAGUCACCUUCCACUAAUUGCUUUAAUUUGAAAAUCUACAUGCUUAUAGAAUCGUUAAUAAGUUUGGGCUUGACAUUCUCGGGAUAUCUCUCGCAUCUUCGAUUUUCAAUUGGGACAAGACUCGAAAAGAAGUUCUUCAAGUGAACGAGGAUGUGAGAUUGUCUUUAGACUUGUUAGAAUUGGUAUUCUAUAAAAAAAAAUAAUAAUAAAAAAUAAAAUAAAAUAAAAUUUCACGGUUUUGCUGGUGGUUAUUUGAGGUUAUUGACUCAAAAUUUGUUUUGGAAUUCUAUAUUUGAUAUUCUUUUUCUGUAGGGUGUCAUAUUUAUAUAUGUAUAUGUUAUAGAUUGUCUUCUAUGCCGGAUAACUCACCUCGUUUGUGAAUAUUUGUUAUAGAUUCCUUCCGCAUUAAUCAUGUGAAGCUCUUUUCUUUCAUAUACUACUUUUGGCCAAAAAAAUUACUGUAGCGAAUACCUAAAUUUGUGCCCGCACUGAACGAAGUUUCUGGCACCGCCCCUGAUUUCUUGAAUUGAUUAAUGAAACAAGUUCACUUCAGAAGGUGGACAAGGAAAGAACCUGAAUAUUCGAAAGCCAAUUAAAUUUCCCUCAAGAAGCGAAGAGCAGAAAGGAUGAUUUUUGGGAAUUUUUUUCAAAUCUGGAUGAUUUUUGGGCUAAUUAUCUUUUUACCGUCGAGCAACCAUGGUUCUUUGCCAGAAAGGGAGAGUUGACGCAGCUGCCUCGCCAUUCCUCAUUCGAGAUAGGAUUGGAGAAAAUGGUG